GACGAACGCUGGCGGCGUGCUUAACACAUGCAAGUCGAACGGAAAGGCCCUGCUUUUGUGGGGUGCUCGAGUGGCGAACGGGUGAGUAACACGUGAGUAACCUGCCCUUGACUUUGGGAUAACUUCAGGAAACUGGGUCUAAUACCGGAUAGGAGAUCCUGCUGCAUGGUGGGGGUUGGAAAUUUUCGGCGGUUGGGGAUGGACUCGCGGCUUAUCAGCUUGUUGGUUGGGUAGUGGCUUACCAAGGCUUUGACGGGUAGCCGGCCUGUGAGGGUGACCGGGCACAAUGGGACUGAGAUACGGCACAGAAUCCUACGGGAGGCAGCAGUGGGGAAUAUUGCACAAUGGGCGGAAGCCUGAUGCAGCAACGCGGCGUGCGGGAUGACGGCCUUCGGGUUGUAAACCGAUUUCGCCUGUGACGAAGCGUGAGCGACGGUAAUGGGUAAAGAAGCACCGGCUAACUACGUG
rnacentral:rRNA from 1 species